rnacentral:rRNA from 1 species
UACAGAGGUCUCGAGCGUUGUUCGGAUUCAUUGGGCGUAAAGGGCGCGUAGGCGGCGGGGUAAGUCUGGUGUGAAAUCUCGGAGCUCAACUCCGAAAUUGCACUGGAUACUGCUCUGCUAGAGGGCUGGAGAGGAGAUCGGAAUUCACGGUGUAGCAGUGAAAUGCGUAGAUAUCGUGAGGAAGACCAGUGGCGAAGGCGGAUCUCUGGACAGCUCCUGACACUGAGGCACGAAAGCUAGGGGAGCAAACCAGG